UCCGGCCGCGAAAUCGCUGGCUCGGGCGCGGGCUUGGAGGCGGCGCGUCCCCGCAAAAGGGGCUGGAGGUGGAGCCGGAGCCCGUGAGCAGUUUUCUUGGUCAACGCUUUUCUGCCUACCGCAGCCCACCCUCCGUAAGCCCUACGCUUGUCUCCUGCUGACAAAUGCCAGCGCGUGAAACGGUCUCUCUUCCAGGCUCCCUUUCUGUUUAUCUGAAAACACUGAAGUCCAGUAGUUGAUUCUUUUGUGUUUUCAAGCUCUCUGCUAUGGCCUGGGAAAGCAGUAGAAGAUGGACCAAGUCCUUGGGCCCUUGCACCCACAUGGAAGAUCUGGAAGAAGCUCCAGGCUCCUGGCUUCGGAUUGGCCCAACUCCAGCUGUUGCAGCCAACUGGAUAGUGAACCAGUGGAUGGAAGACACCCCCCCCCUUUCCUCUUAUCUGCCUCUCUGUAACUCUACCUUUCAAAUAAAAUAAAUCUUUUUUAAAAAUGUGCAUUUCUAA